GACGAACGCUGGCGGCGUGCCUAAUACAUGCAAGUAGAACGCUGAAGGAGGAGCUUGCUCUUCUGGACGAGUUGCGAACGGGUGAGUAACGCGUAGGUAACCUGCCUGGUAGCGGGGGAUAACUAUUGGAAACGAUAGCUAAUACCGCAUAACAGUAGAUGUUGCAUGACAUUUGCUUAAAAGGUGCAAUUGCACCACUACCAGAUGGACCUGCGUUGUAUUAGCUAGUUGGUGGGGUAACGGCUCACCAAGGCGACGAUACAUAGCCGACCUGAGAGGGUGAUAGGCAACACUGGGACUGAGACACGGCCCAGACUCCUACGGGAGGCAGCAGUAGGGAAUCUUCGGCAAGGGACGGAAGUCUGACCGAGCAACGCCGCGUGAGUGAAGAAGGUUUUCGGAUCGUAAAGCUCUGUUGUAAGAGAAGAACGAGUGUGAGAGUGGAAAGUUCACACUGUGACGGUAUCUUACCAGAAAGGGACGGCUAACUACGUG
rnacentral:rRNA from 1 species